rnacentral:rRNA from 1 species
GAUGAACGCUGGCGGCGUGCCUAAUACAUGCAAGUCGAGCGAACAGAUGAGGAGCUUGCUCCUCUGACGUUAGCGGCGGACGGGUGAGUAACACGUGGAUAACCUACCUAUAAGACUGGGAUAACUUCGGGAAACCGGAGCUAAUACCGGAUAAUAUAUUGAACUGCAUGGUUCAAUAGUGAAAGACGGUUUUGCUGUCACUUAUAGAUGGAUCCGCGCCGCAUUAGCUAGUUGGUAAGGUAACGGCUUACCAAGGCGACGAUGCGUAGCCGACCUGAGAGGGUGAUCGGCCACACUGGAACUGAGACACGGUCCAGACUCCUACGGGAGGCAGCAGUAGGGAAUCUUCCGCAAUGGGCGAAAGCCUGACGGAGCAACGCCGCGUGAGUGAUGAAGGUCUUCGGAUCGUAAAACUCUGUUAUUAGGGAAGAACAAAUGUGUAAGUAACUAUGCACGUCUUGACGGUACCUAAUCAGAAAGCCACGGCUAACUACGUG